UUUUUUUUGUUUCACCUACAUACGCAUGGAGGGGCAGCUCUCCCCAAGAAUGCCGUGACAACGCAACCACAUUCUGUCCAUUCGUGUGUGAUCACCAUCCCUUUUUCGGAAGCUCUCAUGAGGCCGGCUUGGAUUCCUACCACUUUCGAGGUACCCUUUUGUUGCAUCCCCCUAGCUAACUUGCCAAACCACAAACAAUCAACGACCAAAUUAAAAAGGUUGAUUUGAUGAAAACAUAUAUAUGCCCUACCAUAUAUUUAUUAAUCGGGCUCAAGAUUAAGGUGGUCAUUCUUUGCUUAUAUUAUAGAGGCAAAAAAGGCUGUAGCUGAAUCUAUGUCUCCACUUCACAUCAAUCUCGUGCCUUCUUUUGUUUCGGCUAAAUGUGUAUGACAAAAAAAAACUUAGCAAAUAAUUACUAGCCAAAUUUCGGUAGGGAUAUUAAUUUUGGCACAAUUCAAACAAAGGAAAAAAAAAAUUCCACCAAUGUCUACCUUGCAUCAUUCACCUAAGGGCGUCCCUGACGGUUGACCAGCCCAAUCAGGAGGAAAGAGAAACAUAAAAAACUCACCAUGCUAGCGAGGUAGCAAGCGCUU
rnacentral:lncRNA from 1 species